UGGGGAAACUGAGGUACCGCCUGCUCAUGCUUAAAGUAAAUAGCCGCAGUAUUUUGACUGUGCUAAGGUAGCAUAAUCAUUAGUCUCUUAAUUAGAGGCUGGUAUGAAUGGCAAGACGAGAAAAAAACUGUCUCUAGAUAAAAUUACGAAUUUCAUAUCUUACUGAAAAAGCUAAGAUGAUUUUGAAGGACGAUCAGACCCUUUGGAGCUUUAUCAAAAAAUUAUUUUGUAUUUAUUUUAAAAUAUGAAAAUAAAAACUUGAUUUUGUUGGGGCGACAGGAAGAAAAAAAUAACACUUCUUUUAUUUACCAUGAAUAUAUGAAUUACUGAUCCUUAGUGAAAGAUUAAAAGACUAAGUUACCCUAGGGAUAACAGCGUAAUCUUUUUGGAGAGUUCUUAUCGAUAAAAAGGUUUGCGACCUCGAUGUUGGAUUAAGAGAUUAGCAAGGUGCAGAAGUUUUGCUGGAAAGUCUGUUCGACUUUUAAUCUCUUACAUGAUCUAGUUUUAAAACCGGGGAGGGGUGGGGCCCAACGAUUAAAAGUCCCAACAUGAACCUGAGUUCAAAACCGGAACACGCGGUUGGUUGGGGUGCGGUUAUCCCGGACUUUUUCGGCUCGGGGGGUGAGCUAGGAAAUGCCGUCCUUUGAUGUGGGAGGGCCGCACCGGCGAGGAUGGGGUACCCGGAAGGGCCGAAACCC
rnacentral:rRNA from 1 species